UUUGACGACAACAUUGUUAGUAUAGUUGAAUAAGAUUGCUUUGUUGUUUGCGAAGAUGAAAAGAUUGCCAUCCACGUUUAAGAAAACAAAAGGGUAUAGGUUGUUUUCUGUUCUAGGUUCACUUGUUUGAACCAAAAAGGGUAAACUAUAAGUGUUUUUGGCUGUGGCUUCAGUUUUGGGGUAAAACUCGUAGUUGAAUUGUCUUCUUCCGCCGAUUAUUAUUUGACCACCGUCCGGUAGCUUGUGAUUGGUGGCGUACCUAGAAGAAAAAUGUGAAGAGAUCAUAGUUGUAAAGUAGAGGGAGAGAGGGUAAAUAACAAACUUUAUAGAUAUUAUUUGAUAUAAGACAAAAUUAUAAAUAGGUAGACGAGUUCAUAUACUCAAAAUUAGUUGGUUUUGAGUGAUGGGCUUGAGCUAUUCUUACAAAACACUUUCAGCCAAAAAUAUUAAUUUAUGGAUCUACGUUGUUCACUUUGGAUAAAAUGAGAUGAUUGACUGUUGUAUAAAAUGAAAUGAUUAAAUAAGUGACAAACAAAUAUAUAAUUUAUUACCAUAAGAUUUUGGUUAAAAAUCUUAUGUUUCACUUAUUGACUCUAUCCUUCCCACAACCCUGAAAUCCUAUAGUAGUGAUUGGAGUCUCCCAUUACAUAACUUUUAAAUGAUUUUUGAAUCAAUUUUGUAGACUUAAACUAACUUGUUAAAUUGUAUUAAAUUGUGUCAUAAAAUGAAUAUAAAUUCGAAAAUGCUCCAGUAAUUUUUUUUUUGCAAAAUAACAACUCUUCAUUAAUUCAUUACCUCAUCCCCUUUAUUACAAAUUUUUGGACUGGAAAGAAGUAUGACAAAAUAAAAAAGGGCACAUGGGUUAAACUAACUAAUUUUAAUUUGAUAGGACUUUUUCUAUGCCUUUUCGAUCGGAUUCAUAAGAUAAACCUACACCCAUAUGGACAAGGAUCUGUUGUCCCAAACCCUGUCACAGAUCAAUCGAAUAAAGUCAAAUACAUAUAUGUUUACAAGAAACACAUGAAAAUCAAUGUAUAUGUACCCAAAUACCCUCGCUAGGAAUGUCUUGGUGUACCACAAAUAGUAGAUAAAAACCAGGUGGUGCAAGAAUAGGUGAACCAGGUGUGGUGACUACAACUUGGUACAGUGUUCCAUUCACAUUUGUCACACUCUUUGGCUCUAACACCAACAACCUUUGAUUCAUUGAAUAAGAGUGUGUGGUAAAAGGUGGCGAUAACAUAGUCACCAACACUAAAUUUUGAGACAAUGUUCCUUUCACCUGAAACUGAACCUCCAAUAUCUGACCAUACAUAAUUUGAGAUUGUGAAGUAGGAGACAUAAUUCUUGGUCGCAAAUUGUCAAAGCCAGGUUCUAAAUAUGAAGGAGAAAAGGCUUCCACACUUAGCUCUGUUGGAAAUAUCACGUUAGUGAAAUUGUAAUAGACGUUGGGAUUGCUUCCAGCAACUAGUACCUGUUGAAAAAGUUCAAUUUUAGGAUUGAAGACAAGAGAAAAUAAUAUUUACAAUAUUUAAUCUCUAAAUAUAAUAAAAUUAGAUUUUAAGAAAGGCUGCACUAGUUAAGAUUCAGCACUGCAUAAAAAAAGUGAAGAUUCAGUGAUAAAGUUUGUUUUAAUGUAUGGUAAUGGGUCACAUGGUUAAAUAAGCAAGUUUUUCAUGAGGUAACAAUGUGUUUCUUAUAGUUUUUCUAUAAAAACUUAUUUCUUCUAAAACCCUGAACAUUAGUUCACAUCACAAAAGUCCUUAAUUUCUUAAUAUAGAACCAAUGUUAAUUUGACUUUUUCUAAAAAAAACUUCACAUCGACAAUGUUUUAUGUACAUUAAAGAUGACAUCUUUGUAGCACUCAUUUAUGUUUAUACCACAACUUUAUGCUAUAAUCCUAAAACGUGAUAGGAAUAUAUCCUUGUUGGGUAUAUGAAUAUCAAAAUAAGAGUGUUGUUUUAACCUACCCUUCCAUCACGAACCAAAACAGCUGUAGAGUGGUACAUUCUAGGGAUGCUAGAUGGGUUUUGCAACUCAAACCGUGACCCCAGUGGACUAUUUGUUUUAUAAAUAAUCGGGUUUAAAGUCGGGUUCCGCCCGAAUGUCCAUCCAGCUGUACCUGAACCUGCACCAUUAACAAUUAAAACAUUACCAUUAGGAAGCAUCACCAUAUCACUCAUAACUCUACCACCCGGCAUAGUCUCCAUAACCCAAUUUGGGUUCUGAUCAGUUACUUUAACCCUAGCACAAGUAUUCAACGCUCCAAUAAAAUGACCCUUUGAGGCUUGUUCAUAAGAUCCUUUUGGAGCUCCACCACAAACCAAAACCUCAGCUUCCAAAAUUGCACCUUGCAAAUUCCUUAAUGGUAAUAACACAGCUGAACCAGAACUUGGAUAAGACCUAGGAUCACCACCUGGAAUCUGAGGGAAUGUUUUGACGACAACAUUGUUAGUAUAGUUGAAUAAGAUUGCUUUGUUGUUUGCGAAGAUGAAAAGAUUGCCAUCCACGUUUAAGAAAACAAAAGGGUAUAGGUUGUUUUCUGUUCUAGGUUCACUUGUUUGAACCAAAAAGGGUAAACUAUAAGUGUUUUUGGCUGUGGCUUCAGUUUUGGGGUAAAACUCGUAGUUGAAUUGUCUUCUUCCGCCGAUUAUUAUUUGACCACCGUCCGGUA
rnacentral:lncRNA from 1 species